rnacentral:rRNA from 1 species
GACGAACGCUGGCGGCGUGCUUAACACAUGCAAGUCGUACGGUAAGGCCCUUUCGGGGGUACACGAGUGGCGAACGGGUGAGUAACACGUGAGUAACCUGCCCACAACUUUGGGAUAACGCUAGGAAACUGGAGCUAAUACUGGAUAUGUGCUCCUGCUGCAUGGUGGGGGUUGGAAAGCUCCGGCGGUUGUGGAUGGACUCGCGGCCUAUCAGCUUGUUGGUGGGGUAGUGGCCUACCAAGGCGGCGACGGGUAGCCGGCCUAAGAGGGUGACCGGCCACAUUGGGACUGAGAUACGGCCCAGACUCCUACGGGAGGCAGCAGUGGGGAAUAUUGCACAAUGGACGCAAGCCGGAUGCAGCAACGCCGCGUGCGGGAUGACGGCCUUCGGGUUGUAAACCGCUUUCAGCAGGGACGAAGCUUUUUGUGACGGUACCUGCAGAAGAAGCACCGGCUAACUACGUG